GCCCCAGGAUAUUUACGUCAGGACAGGUAACAUAUGCAUCCGAAAGUAAGUAUAUUUUUUUUUUAUUUAUUAAUAGUUUUCUGAUAGAUAUUAAAAUAAUUUGAAUAUGUAUUACAGAUAGACGGCAGCCCAGAGAGAAGAAAAAAGAAGUCCUAGACAUGGAGAUGAUAUAAUUUUUGAUGCCUAGAUGAUGAUAUACCAGCCCCAGGAUAUUUACGUCAGGACAGGUAACAUAUGCAUCCGAAAGUAAGUAUAUUUUUUUUUUAUUUAUUAAUAGUUGUCUGAUAGAUAUUAAAAUAAUUUGAAUAUGUAUUACAGAUAGACGGCUGCCCAGAGAGAAGAAAAAAGAAGUCCUAGACAUGGAGAUGAUAUAAUUGUUGAUGCCUAGAUGAUGAUAUACCAGCCCCAGGAUAUUUACGUCAGGACAGGUAACAUAUGCAUCCGAAAGUAAGUAUAUUUUUUUUUUAUUUAUUAAUAGUUGUCUGAUAGAUAUUAAAAUAAUUUGAAUAUGUAUUACAGAUAGACGGCAGCCCAGAGAGAAGAAAAAAGAAGUCCUAGACAUGGAGAUGAUUUAAUUGUUGAUGCCUAGAUGAUGAUGCCUGAGAAGUUUUAGUGGUACAGCUUGAAGAUGGUUCCAUUGUACAUAGAAGAUGAAGAUGAGUUAGGAUAAACCUUGUUAGGUUAUUACAGUGACUGUUUUCAUGGAUGGGGAGUAAAACUUUGUGGUCUAAUACUCAUAAAUUAAUGAAGAUUUUGGAUCCUUUUGGCUUGAAAGAUUGUCAGGAACAUGAAGAAACUGAAUCUGUAAUAAACAUGGGUACACAAACAGACAAAAUAACAACAACACUGGUUGAUACAAUUCUAGGAACCGGUGAAGAAGUUAAAAGUUUUACAAUAUACUGAAGACUUGCAACGGAAAAUCCAGGAAACAGGUUUUUUACUGAACAGUAUGAGAGAGCCAAGAUGAUUGUUGGUUUUAAAAUGCUUGGAAAAUACAACCAAAUGAAGACAAAAAAAUGAACUGCAUCAACAAACAAAACAACUACUGGAACAUUGGGGCAUCAGUACUGAGUUCUGAUUCUAAAAACAAUUGUUCAAAAUCUUCUACAAGUUUAAGAAGACUGUACAUACAUGUAUAUAUAUAUAUAUAUUUAUAUAAGAAAGAAAAAAAAUAAUGCAUGUGCUUGAAACUUGUGUACAUACAUCAUGUAAUGAAUAGAAAAAUGAAAGAAAACAAAAUGAAAACAAAAUGAAAAGAAAAAAGAAAGAAAAUUAAAAAAAAGAAAA